GGGGCUAUAGCUCAGUUGGUAGAGCGCUUGAAUGGCAUUCAAGAGGUCAGCGGUUCGAUCCCGCUCAGCUCCA
rnacentral:tRNA from 1 species